CUAGGGUUUCCCUUUCCCAGGAGUGGCAAGUUCCAUGAUAUGCCAGUGUGCUGCUGUUUGUGUGUUGCGUAAUAAUCCGUAAAAUGCCUCUGUGAUGUGUAGUUGGGCCGUAGUAGUUCUGUGCCCUCCAUGUGAAUACGCUCUUGAUGCGAACUUAUGCUGUGAAAUGUGCUUCGUUUCUAGUAAUGAACUUAUGGAUGAAUGUCCGUCCUGAAAUGUUAUGAGUAUUCUGAAAUUCAUGAUGUUUGCUCUGUUGCUAAUUGUUAAUGUGACUCUUGGGGAUCGUUGGUAAUCUGUUUAUUAGGUUAAAUUGUCAAACAUUGUUCUUAAGGGCACGCCUGUUUCUCGCAACCGUGAUGGUUGAAACUUUGGUGGUCUUACUGGUCUGGUGCUGUUAUAACUUAUAUAAGCAUUUACAAGUGUAUACUGCCAACACAUGCUAGGCGUUUACUUGUUUGGUCAUAUUCAUCAGUUUGACCUAUUCAUUGACUUACCCGAAGUGUUGAUGACUAUAAAUGUACAAUGUUUGCUUGCUAAUGGGACACGUUUGUCUCGUGCUAUCGAUUGUAGAUGCGGCAUAAAAUUGCUUACCAGUAGCCUUGUACAUUUGACACGAAGGUCAGCUUGUACAUUGACAAGUGGUAGAUGUUCUUGAUGUUUGACAAGUUUAAUUUGAACUACCAAAGCGUCAUAUAUUUAGGAACGGAGGGAGUAGAAGCCAAAUGCUGAUCUAGGUUAAAUUUAGUUCUUUAUCUUGUAUCUGCUUAACUGUGAAUGGUGUAUGCAUUCAGCAUGGUGCACACAUGCACGUGCAUAAGCACAGUUUUGUAGGUAGGCGGUACUUACCCAACGAUAUUCUAUCUUGUUUUUAGCAUAACGAUAUUAUAUCUUGGGUAAGGGGAAUGCGUCCAUGUCGGUUUCAGCAAGGUUCCUUCAAAAUUAUAAUCUCAUCUUUUUUUUGAGAGAGUAUGCAAAAUGCGUACCAUAGCUUUAUACAGAAGAGAGAAAGUCAAUAUACAAGGAUCUGUUGCCCCUACCAGUCUACCACACCUCAGCCAGGGCAACCAUAGCUCAUCCUGAAAAGGAAACUACUCCUCACAGUCGCUGUAUACCAUUAGUUCCGGGCAUAAUUGAUUUGAUACACGGGCUGAAAGGCCGCAGAGCAGUACAACAAAGAAAGAACCGGAAGAAUAGGCAUCCAGGAGUUCACCAGUUCUGUACAUACAGAGAUGGUCGCUGAAGCAGUAGCUCCACCUGAAGAUAGACAGACAUGGCAUUUCAUAUUAGUCACAGCAUGAGGAUAGGAGAAGAACAUAAUACAUAAUUACAUAUUAUCAUAAAUAAAGCUGAAAUUAGGAUCUCAGGAAGGAAAAUGUUGGGUGGUAUACGGGGUCUACAGUAAUAAUGACAUAAUGGUAGUACUAGUAACCAUUGAGGCAACACUUUCAGUUAUGCUAAUAGGUAAUCCUUGAACUCUUUGUACCAAGAGCUCGAUGAAUGUGGCAAUUUUCUAUGCUCAGCAACUUUGAUUUUGUUAUUCUCAAGAUUGUCAAAAGUGUAAUUCCGUUCUUUUGGGUGCUGUUAUAAAGUUAACGUGGUAUUUGUUGGGAUAAAAUUAAUAAUUAUGCAGAUCAUAUUGCAUCUGUGUCGUCAGACUGAUUCUGGUUACAUGAUCAUAUCAAAUAAGAAUGAGCAAAUCCUUCACAGAACUUGGGGUCAGUCGAUUUUGGUCUGUACGUGUCUUCUGUUUGUCCAUUGGAACACUGUCGACCCCAUACUUGUUCUCUAGCAGCGCCUGGCACUAGGGCAUGCCUAACAAAAAAAAACA
rnacentral:lncRNA from 1 species